CACGCGCGCGCACACACACUGCCGAGAAAAAAAAAAAAGAAAAAAAAAAAAAAUGGAAAAGGGUGUCGGCCCAUUUGCCAAAUGAAAAUCACAAAAUGGUGGCAAAUAAAAUAGGAUAUCAGUAAAAUUAUUAAUAAUAACCAACAAAGUAUUAUAAAAAUUAGAUUUAUGCGGAUUAUGAUUUUCCCGUGAGGAAUUUUUGUGGAAAUUUUAUUUCUUUUUUAUCAUGGGAAGAAUGGUCUGCUAUUUUUUAACACGACCAAUACCGUCGAGAAAAACCGAGCAA